rnacentral:lncRNA from 1 species
CACUGGCGUGUCUAGAGCAUCAUUACUACGUAGGCUUUUCCUCCUCAGCCUAGGUUCGGCGCAUCGACGGCUCCCAGCCAGCCAGAUGGCGGAUUGAGGGGCGCUCCGGGGACUGACUUGAGGGUGCUGGGCGUCGUUUUCCCCUGUCUGUCCCCGAGCCAAGGCGCUCUCUCCGAAGAACACUUGUAGACAUCUGAAAAAUGCUUUUUGCAGAAGCCGGUCACUCUCAUUUUCGCUGCCACUGAAUCUAAAUUUAGCCUGACCUCCAGUGUCUGGAGACAGGAGUUUCUGGAAGAGAUCUUUGCAAAGGUCUCCCGCAAGCGUUCAUCGUAUGAUCCGGGCCACAGAAAUCAAGGUUGGAGAAGGAAUCCUCAGUCCUGGAAUGAAUGCCGGAAUGAGGUCGAGUCUGGGAUUCAGUUUCGUUCUUGGAGUUAUACCUAACUGAGCUACCCAGGAAAUGAAAUUGUUUUGUAUUUUGUAGCGGGAGAAAAAGAUGCUAACGAGGUUGUUAUCUAAAGCUUAGUUCAGAAAACAACUUAAGACAGGUAGGUAUAUACUCUCCUAAUUGUCAAACUUGCUGGAUCUUUUGGAAGAGCAGCCAGUGCUCAGACAAGAGAAACCUGCACAUCAAAUCCUACACUCUCCUGACCCUGCGCAGCUAGAGCAGUUAUUACUCCCUCCCUCUCCCUGACGAUACCCCCACCCCCGCGGGGGGUGGGGAAAGGCAAAUGCCAGCCUUGAGAACAAAAGAAAAGCAGCAUACCCUAGCCUCCACGUCACUUAAACUCGACCCCUUUUGAUUAACAACCAACAUUUCUCACAGUGCAGAUGGCUCCUUGCUGUUGAAGGAAACCGAAGCCAAUACCCUUGAAAUGAUAAUAGCCCACUCUUAGACUAUGAAAAAGAGACAAACGUUCCCAGACAGCUGUGGCCGGUUGUAAACAUAUCAGAAGCGGUUCUGAUAGCACAAGUUACUCUUCCCAGGUCAGAAAGGUACCUUUUCAGCUACACGGUUCUGCCCUGCUGUCUGAACAAAUGUUAUCAGGUUUAAAGGACAGCAUUCCUUUACCCUCUCCUAUAUUGCCAACACAAAAACCCGCUUGCGGGUUUUUUUCUUUAUAAACCCCCUUUACUUAGGCCUGGGGGUUCACUCUUUCCUGUUCUGUCAGGAAGGUUGGUGGCCCAAGCUCGAGCUUAAAUAAAGACCCUCAUGCGAUUACAGUGGGGUAUGAUUCCUGGUCCUCUCCUUGGGAUUUUUACAAUCUGGGCACAACACUCUUAACCAGGGAACCAUCUCUCUAGCCCUAAUUAAAUAUUCAAAUAAAAACGUAUUA